UACGUAGGGUCCGAGCGUUGUCCGGAUUUAUUGGGCGUAAAGAGCUCGUAGGCGGCUCGGUAAGUCGGGUGUGAAAUUUCGAGGCUCAACCUCGAAACGCCACCCGAUACUGCUGUGGCUAGAGUCCGGUAGGGGAGCGUGGAAUUCCUGGUGUAGCGGUGAAAUGCGCAGAUAUCAGGAGGAACACCAGCGGCGAAGGCGGCGCUCUGGGCCGGUACUGACGCUGAGGAGCGAAAGCGUGGGGAUCAAACAGG
rnacentral:rRNA from 1 species